CUUCUAAACAACAGUUUUCAGAAUAACAAAAUUAUGGACAAGGUAGUUAAAAUUUGGCUGAGGACAGACCAUUUUUCAGGAUUUGUAAUUUUCAAAAGUGUUUUUAAUUAAGAAUAAAACAUCCAAGGACCUAAUAUUACAUAUUCCUUUAAAGCGCAACUCACAGAAAUCACCCAUUUAGUAUUUUUGUUGUCAGUUUUGGAUUAUACAAGUUUUAUUCACUGUAACAAUUCCAGGACAGAUACUAUACGUUUCUGGUAGAAUGUCCCAAGGGGGGCGUGGCU